rnacentral:tRNA from 1 species
GUUCGGAUAGUUCAAUGGAUAGAGCGGCUGGCUACGGACCAGCAAAUGAGGGUUCAAGUCCUUCUCCGAACACCA